AUGGGGGACGUGGGGACCCAAUGGGGACGCGCCCACGGCCAAAGGGACCAAUGGGGACGCGAGCAUGGCCAAUGGGACCCAAUGGGACGCAACCACAGCCAAGGGGACCAAUGGGGGACGUGGGGACCCGGUGGGGGCCCAGUCGGGGUCGAGGGGAUGGGAAGGGACCCGGGGGGGGCAGGAGGCCCGGGGGUGUCCCAAGGGUGUCCCGGGGGUGCCCUGGGGGAGUCCUGGGGGUGUCCCGGGGGAGUCCCAAGGGUGUCCCAGGGGUGCCCCGGGGGUGUCCCGGGGGUGCCCUGGGGGUGUCCUGGGGGUGUCCCAGGGGUGUCUCAGGGGAGUCCCGGGGGUGUCCCAGGGGUGUCUCGGGGGAGUCCUGGGGGUGUCUGGGGGUGUCCCCAGGGUGUCCCAGGGGUGCCCUGGGGGUGUCCCGGGGGUGUCCCGGGGGUGCCCUGGGGGUGUCUCAGGGGUGUCCCGGGGGUGCCCUGGGGGUGUCCCGGGGGUGUCUCAGGAUGUCACGGUGGUGUCCCAGGGGUGUCUCGGGGGAGUCCCGGGGGUGUCUGGGCGUGUCCCCAGGGUGCCCCGGGGGUGCCCCAGGGGUGUCUGAGGGGCGUCCCGGGGGUGCCCCGGGGGCCGCAGGGUAACCCCGCCCCCCGCCCCGCCCCCCCCAGAGGACCUGCCGUCGCCGCGGCGGCUGCAGAAGCUGGAGGUGCCGCUGAUGGCGCUGAGCACCUGCCGGCGCCUCUACGGCAUCGACAUGGGCCGGGGGCUGCCGCCGCGGCGCAUCCAGGACGACAUGCUGUGCGCCGGGUACCCCGAGGGCCUCAAGGACACCUGCAAGGGCGACUCGGGCGGCCCGCUGGUGUGCCGGGCCGGGGGCCGCUGGGUGCUGGCGGGCAUCGUCAGCUGGGGCGAGGGCUGCGCCGUCCCCAACCGCCCCGGCGUCUACACCCGCGUCAGCGCCUACGCCCCCUGGAUCGCCUCCCGCGCCCCCGGCGCCGCCUUCGUCACCGCCGGCGCCGCCCGGCCCCUCGGCCUCGGCCUCGGCCUCCUCCUCCUCCUCCUCCUCUUCCUCAUCGGCCCGGCGGCGGCGGCCUGAGGGCCCCCGGGGCAACGGGGCCGGGACGCGAGGGGCCUCGCGGGGAUGGGGGGGGCCUGAAAUCGUUCUCGGGACCCGCACCCCCACCCCCAGAAAUCCUACAGGGGCCUUCGGCGUCGUCAUCGGGGUCCUGAAGUCAUCGGGGGGACCCCAAAACCCUAUAGGAGCCUAAAACAGCUUCAUUGAGGUCCUGAAACCAUCACGGGGACCCCCAAAACCCUAUAGGAACCCUAUAGGAACCUAAAACAGCUCCUAAAAUGUCUUCACUGAGGCCCUAAAGCCAUCAGGGGGACCCCAAAAUCCUACAGGAACCUUCAGCAGCUCCUAAAAUACCUUCAUUGGGGCCCUAAAACCAUCACGGGGACCCCCAAAAACCCUAUAGGAACCCAAAACGUCCUCAUUGAGGCCCUAAAGCCAUCACGGGGACCCCAAAAUCCUAUAGGAACCUUCAUCAGUUCCUAAAAUGCCUUCAUUGAGGCCCUAAAACCACCAUGGGGACCCCCAAAACCCUAUAGGAACCUAAAACGUCCCCAUUGAGGCCCCAAAACCAUCAAGGGGACCCCCAAAACCCCCGUAGGAACCUAAAACGUCUUGGCUGAGUCCUAAAAUCGUCACCGGGACCCCCAAAAAUCCCGCAGGGACCCCCCAACAUCUUGGGGGUCCUGAAGCCACACGCGGGACCCUACGGGGACCCCAGAAAGGGCCCCAAAACCCCAACGGGGACCCUAAAACGUAGGGGACCCCAAAAGCUCCGGGGGGGGGGGGCUCACCCGAGGCUCCGGUUUUGGGGUGAAAAGCUCCGAGUUCGGGCCGGGCCCGAGACGGGUGGCAAAAUAAAGAAACGUUGGGGAAAAAAACGGGGGAUUUG
rnacentral:lncRNA from 1 species